rnacentral:rRNA from 1 species
AUGGGCACCACGAACGAGCUGAUGCACCGCCACGUCCAGGCGGCCGCCGUGCCACCGCUGCCCGCGUCCUUCGCGGCGACCAGCGCCAGGGGCAUGGGGUCGCAGCCGGGGCAGGGCGGCAGGCAGCGGGCGGGGCUGCCCCCGACGCCGCCCUCGGGGGCCGGCUCCCACUCCCUGCACGUCGCGGACGCGUGCAUGCCGAUGCAGGACGACUCGGCGCCGCGCAAGGCGCACCGCCGCUCCUGCAGCGACGUCCCGUUCGGCUACUUCCCGCCGCCGUCCCCCAAGACGGAGUCCGGCUGGGGCCUCCCCUGCGCCGGCGGCGGCGGCGGCGGCGGCGGCGGCGACGAGCUGUUCAACGCGUUCAUGAGCAUGGAGGGCAUGGACGGGCUGAACAGCUCCGACGGGGACAGCCGCGGGAGCAGCAUGCCCCCGGCCAACGGCGCCGACAGCAGCGAGAACGAGUCGGAGGACUACAGCGGCGUCGAGAGCCAGGUGUUCCUCUGGGGCGAGGCCGGCAGGAAGAGGAACGCCGCCGGGGAGCCGGCGGCCGCGGCUACCCGGCACGCGCGGAGCCUGUCCAUGGACAGCCUCAUGGGGAAGCUGAGCUUCUCGGCCAACGGCGGGGAGCCGAGCAAGUUCAGCCUGGAGUUCGGCAGCGGCGAGUUCACCCCGGCCGAGAUGAAGCGGAUCAUGGCCGACGAGAAGCUCGCCGAGAUGGCCCUCGCCGACCCAAAGCGCGUCAAGAGGGUGCUCGCCAACCGGCAGUCGGCGGCGCGGUCCAAGGAGCGGCGGAUGCGGUACAUCGCCGAGCUGGAGCACAAGGUGCAGAUCCUGCAGACGGAGGCCACCACCCUCUCCGCACAGCUGACUCACCUACAGCGCGAUUCGUCGGGGCUGGCCACGCACAACAACGAGCUCAAGUUCCGGCUGCAGGCCAUGGAGCAGCAGGCGCAGCUGCGCGACGCUCUGAACGAGGCGCUCACCGGCGAGGUCCAGCGCCUGAAGCAGUCGGCGACGUCGGAGCGCGGCGGCGACGCGGGCUCGUCCAGCAACCUGGCGCAGCAAAUGCAGCUCCGCUGCCAGAACCAGAUGCUCGAGAUGCACAAGCAGCAGCAGCAGCAGAUACCCUUCUACCAGCUGGAGCAGCCGGAGCAGAAUGGCGAGUCAAACUGA